GUUUUCUUCAAUUAUCCUUUUGCCUCUCCUUGCCUAGAAGAAACUCCGAAAAUUUUUUGCAUAUUUGAUGGAUAAGAUGGAAAGGACGGUAGGUGAGGAAAUACAGCAGCUAAGAUGACAAGCCAGCUCUCCACUGACCACACAGGCACAUCUCUAGCAAGGGACAGGAAGACAGAAGAAUGAAUGCAACAGGACCGCUAAGAAGUAAAGACAGUCUUCAGCUAUGCAAGAAUAGCAGCUAGAAAUAGACAAACUGAAGAAGAGUUUAUGGAAGGAGGAGCUGUUUUGUCCAGAGAGCAGCCUGGUAGUUUUCCGUUUUCAAAUGCUUGGCUUUCAGGGCUCUGAUGUUUCCCUGCACAGUUGUGUCCAAUCAUGACAGAGACAAGGGAAACAGCCAAGGCUACAAUAUCAGCACAGUACAAGAGAAUCAGGCAUCCAGUGAGCGGAGAACCACAGGGAAAUAUCGGACCGUGCGCUAAUCCAUGAGCACCCCAUCAUCUUCUCUGAGCAUCAGAGCUCCCUUGGCUUCAGGUCUUGUUAGGAAAUUAAAUUUGAAGUUGCUCAGCUCUGCCAGUGCUUGAUCCCUUCCAGACACUUUCCACUCCCGCUGCAGAAAGCUUGAGGAUGGCUGGGAAAGGUGGGAGAGGAGGGAAUGCCAUGGGUGGGACUGUCAUGGAGAGAUGGAUCCCAGCAACUCUGCAUUGGUGAUUCUUUGCACGGAAGCCUAGUAUGUGGACCUCUAGUCUGUGGAGAAGGGCAGACAGAAGGCCCCUUCUAUUUUCUCAUCGAGAUGGCAGAGGCUGUGAUG
rnacentral:lncRNA from 10 species